GACGAACGCUGGCGGCGUGCUUAACACAUGCAAGUCGAACGGAAAGGCCCCUUUGGGGGUACUCGAGUGGCGAACGGGUGAGUAACACGUGAGUAACCUGCCCUUGACUUCGGGAUAACUUCAGGAAACUGGGGCUAAUACCGGAUAGGAAUCCUUGCUGCAUGGUGGGGGUUGGAAAGCUUCGGCGGUUUUAGAUGGACUCACGGCUUAUCAGCUUGUUGGUGGGGUAGUGGCUUACCAAGGCUUUGACGGGUAGCCGGCCUGAGAGGGCGACCGGCCACAUUGGGACUGAGAUACGGCCCAGACUCCUACGGGAGGCAGCAGUGGGGAAUAUUGCACAAUGGGCGGAAGCCUGAUGCAGCAACGCCGCGUGCGGGAUGACGGCCUUCGGGUUGUAAACCGCUUUCAGCAGGGGCGAAGCUUGUGGUGACGGUACCUGCAGAAGAAGCACCGGCUAACUACGUG
rnacentral:rRNA from 1 species